rnacentral:rRNA from 1 species
UACGGGGGGGGUAAGCGUUGUUCGGAAUUACUGGGCGUAAAGGGCUCGUAGGCGGCCAACUAAGUCAGACGUGAAAUCCCCAGGCUUAACCUGGGAACUGCGUCUGAUACUGGAUGGCUUGAAUCCGGGAGAGGGAUGCAGAAUUCCAGGUGUAGCGGUGAAAUGCGUAGAUAUCUGGAGGAAUACCGGUGGCGAAGGCGGCAUCCUGGACCGGCAUUGACGCUGAGGAGCGAAAGCUAGGGGAGCAAACGGG